rnacentral:misc_RNA from 1 species
AAGUCGUAACAAGGUUUCCGUAGGUGAACCUGCGGAAGGGUCAUUAAAGAAUAUCGAGCCCUCACAGCUCUUAUUCUCACCCCUUUUGUAUACCCAAAACUUUUGUUGCUUUGGCAGCGCCUUUAGGGGCCCUGCCAGAGGACCGAAAACCCCUAGAAUCUCUGCCGUCUGAGUACUAUAUAAAUAGUUAAAAAC